GUCCACGCUGUAAACGAUGUCUACUAGUUGUUGGGACCCUUGAGGUCUUAGUGACGCAGCUAACGCAUUAAGUAGACCGCCUGGGGAGUACGGUCGCAAGAUUAAAACUCAAAUGAAUUGACGGGGGCCCGCACAAGCGGUGGAGCAUGUGGUUUAAUUCGAAGCAACGCGAAGAACCUUACCUACUCUUGACAUCCUGAUAAUUCGGUAGAGAUACCUUAGUGCCUUCGGGAAAUCAGUGACAGGUGCUGCAUGGCUGUCGU
rnacentral:rRNA from 1 species